rnacentral:lncRNA from 1 species
GGCAAGUCUUUCUGCGAUCUUUCCGCACUUCUCCCCGCUGCCUUCUUCACCCCCAGGCAAACCACAAUACCCACUUGCAUGAUAGUCAUGCAGUAACCAUGGUCUUCAACUUGAAUGUUUAUUAAAUGAUUGCUUGUUUAAAAUAUGGUUAUCGUUGUUUCGGUAAUGUUUCUGGGUUAGUGCUUACUUGCUUACUAUGUUGUGAUGCACCUGGUUAUCAUGCCCUGCUAGUUACUAGUAUUACUUUCAUAUUGCCAUGCUUGAUAGUAGUACAUGUUGGGUUGGUCAUGUUCUUCAGUGCAUGACUAACAUCGGUUACCAAGUAUUGUUAAUAUGCAUUGUUCCUUUACUACUAGUUGGUUAAGUGUUUACUCGAUAACGUUAUUGAUGAGUUCUUGCAUGUUAUUUAUGGUUGAUGCUAGUGGUCAUGUUAUACUAUGAGUAGUGCUACACUUGUAAUAUUUAUGCUCGUCAUUAUGCCAUGUUCAAUUGGAGAUUAUUUCAUAGUUGAUAUGAUGGACAGUUAUGUUGCAUCUCGUGCUUAUGUUGAUAUCAUGCUCAUGCAUUGUAAUUGCAUCAUGUUAUUUUAUCAUGGCUCAGCAUUUUGAUUCAAGUUUAACGGGAUUAAAUUGAACUUGAACAACUGUUGGCCGAGUCAUGGUGCCACCAUAUCGAAACUGACCAGUGCAACCACGCUCACCUUCGUGGGAAGGUCCUAACUGGGUCUAUUGUCAUGACUCUCGCCGGUGCCUCCCACUAGGGAAGGUUAUGGGCGUGCUUACCCUGAUCAGGUAGGCGGACAUAACCUUGUGUGCCCGUUGUUUUUAUUUUUAUGGAUCCGGUCCCCGUGAGGGACGUUUGGCCACGACGGUGGUCGGUGUGUCUUUGGUAGACAUGGGGCCACCCAGGACUAGCCCAGUUGGGAGUGGGUCGGAGUGGCUGGGAGGGUGUCAUGGCAGUAGAUCGGUUUUGUCAGAACGCCGUUGGUCCACCCGAUUGGGAGUGCGAGUCCAUGGGUUCCGUGGUGUGGGUACAUUGUGCUACCUCUGCAGAGUGUAUAUUAAACCUAUCGAUAGGGCCCAGUUCGUGUCGGUCCCACCAUGAGUCAACAGUAUUAAUAAUAACUUGAUUAAUGACAACCCCGGUUCGAUGAUGAGAUAAGUUGGUUGUGAUCGCCGGAAUGAUCACCGUUUGAGACCAAGUGUUGGUCAUGGUUGUGAUCGCCGGACUGAUCACCGUGGUAUCAAGGAUAUCGAGUUGUUGGAUAUUCGUGAUGUUGUGCGAGAAUCAUGGGUAAGGAUCAAGCUCCUUGUGGUCAUUUAAUGAUUACUACGGUAUUGUUUAUACCAAGCUUGAUUUGAUCCUGAGAUGAUCGCAUGAUGUCCGAGGAUGGUAAGUGAUGCAUGUGAUGGUUAUGUAGUAACCCGAGCAGAAUAAAUAGUGCAUAUAGUGUCAUCAUGUUGCAUGCUAGUAUCGUCGAAUUCAUAUGUUCAUGCUAUGCUCAUGUUGUUCUAGCUGUAUCAUGUUCAUGCCAUGCUCAUAUUGUUCUAGCAGUAUUAUGUUCAUGUUGUUCAUGUCAUGCUCAUAUUGUUCUAGCAGUAUUAUGUUCAUGUUGUUCAUGCCAUGUUAUCCUGAUGAUCUCAUGAUAAUUUCUGCUUAAAUCUGUAAUUGACAUGCCGUUGUUUGUCUUGAAUGCUUCUAGUUAAUUGUGAGCUUGCAAGUACAUUCAAUUUACUGACCAGGCGUGUCAUGCUAGCUUGCAGGUCAUGCCUGGAUUGCUUGCCUGUUUGGUGUUGUCCCUGUGUUCGCGAGCUAGGAUAAGUGUUCCAGCCAGAGUCCCUGCGUAGUGGAGUUCACCACCGUCGUUGUUGUUCCGCUGCCAGUAGUUUUUCCGCUGCUUCGAGUUGUUCUGCUGCUUGCAUAGAGCAAUUGAGGAUGGCAUAGUGUCGUCGUGCCGAUGUUAUUCAUUGUAAUAUCGGAGACCUUGUAAUCAUAUUCGUGUAAUAAUAGAAAGCUGUUUUUAAGCAGUUCUGUAUUCCAAAAGACUUCUCCUUGAUCUCUGGGCUAGAAUACAGGGCGUUCCGGUUUUCUCUGAGCCGGGGUGCCACAGUGCACCUCUGAAGAUCAAGGACUGACUAAACAUUGUAAUUCAUGGUAAAAGAGAUCCAGUCAUACUCAAUGUAAAC